UACGUAGGUGGCAAGCGUUGUCCGGAUUUACUGGGCGUAAAGCGCACGUAGGCGGCUUUGUAAGUUAGAGGUGAAAGCCCGGGGCUCAACCCCGGAAUUGCCUUUAAGACUGCAUCGCUUGAAUCCGGGAGAGGUGAGUGGAAUUCCGAGUGUAGAGGUGAAAUUCGUAGAUAUUCGGAAGAACACCAGUGGCGAAGGCGGCUCACUGGACCGGUAUUGACGCUGAGGUGCGAAAGCGUGGGGAGCAAACAGGA
rnacentral:rRNA from 1 species